rnacentral:rRNA from 1 species
GAGUUUGAUCAUGGCUCAGGAUGAACGCUGGCGGCGUGCCUAAUACAUGCAAGUCGAGCGAACAGAUAAGGAGCUUGCUCCUUUGACGUUAGCGGCGGACGGGUGAGUAACACGUGGAUAACCUACCUAUAAGACUGGGAUAACUUCGGGAAACCGGAGCUAAUACCGGAUAACAUAUUGAACCGCAUGGUUCAAUAGUGAAAGGCGGCUUUGCUGUCACUUAUAGAUGGAUCCGCGCCGUAUUAGCUAGUUGGUAAGGUAACGGCUUACCAAGGCAACGAUACGUAGCCGACCUGAGAGGGUGAUCGGCCACACUGGAACUGAGACACGGUCCAGACUCCUACGGGAGGCAGCAGUAGGGAAUCUUCCGCAAUGGGCGAAAGCCUGACGGAGCAACGCCGCGUGAGUGAUGAAGGUCUUCGGAUCGUAAAACUCUGUUAUCAGGGAAGAACAAAUGUGUAAGUAACUGUGCACAUCUGACGUACCUAUCAGAGCCAGGCUAACUACGUGCCAGCAGCCGCGGUAAUACGUAGGUGGCAAGCGUUAUCCGGAAUUAUUGGGCGUAAAGCGCGCGUAGGCGGUUUUUUAAGUCUGAUGUGAAAGCCCACGGCUCAACCGUGGAGGGUCAUUGGAAACUGGAAAACUUGAGUGCAGAAGAGGAAAGUGGAAUUCCAUGUGUAGCGGUGAAAUGCGCAGAGAUAUGGAGGAACACCAGUGGCGAAGGCGACUUUCUGGUCUGUAACUGACGCUGAUGUGCGAAAGCGUGGGGAUCAAACAGGAUUAGAUACCCUGGUAGUCCACGCCGUAAACGAUGAGUGCUAAGUGUUAGGGGGUUUCCGCCCCUUAGUGCUGCAGCUAACGCAUUAAGCACUCCGCCUGGGGAGUACGACCGCAAGGUUGAAACUCAAAGGAAUUGACGGGGACCCGCACAAGCGGUGGAGCAUGUGGUUUAAUUCGAAGCAACGCGAAGAACCUUACCAAAUCUUGACAUCCUUUGACCGCUCUAGAGAUAGAGUCUUCCCCUUCGGGGGACAAAGUGACAGGUGGUGCAUGGUUGUCGUCAGCUCGUGUCGUGAGAUGUUGGGUUAAGUCCCGCAACGAGCGCAACCCUUAAGCUUAGUUGCCAUCAUUAAGUUGGGCACUCUAAGUUGACUGCCGGUGACAAACCGGAGGAAGGUGGGGAUGACGUCAAAUCAUCAUGCCCCUUAUGAUUUGGGCUACACACGUGCUACAAUGGACAAUACAAAGGGCAGCUAAACCGCGAGGUCAAGCAAAUCCCAUAAAGUUGUUCUCAGUUCGGAUUGUAGUCUGCAACUCGACUACAUGAAGCUGGAAUCGCUAGUAAUCGUAGAUCAGCAUGCUACGGUGAAUACGUUCCCGGGUCUUGUACACACCGCCCGUCACACCACGAGA